rnacentral:rRNA from 1 species
AGAGUUUGAUCCUGGCUCAGAAUCAACGCUGGCGGCGUGCCUAACACAUGCAAGUCGAACGCGAAAGCCCGCAAGGGCAAGUAGAGUGGCGCACGGGUGAGUAACACGUGGACAACCUGCCUUCGAGUGGGGAAUAACCUUCCGAAAGGAGGGCUAAUACCGCAUAACACCUCGGGACACAAGUUCUGGGGUUGAAAAGAGCAAUUUGCUCGAAGAGGGGUCCGCGCCUGAUUAGCUAGUUGGUGGGGUAACGGCUCACCAAGGCUUCGAUCAGUAGCCGUCCUGAGAGGGAGCACGGCCACACUGGAACUGAGACACGGUCCAGACUCCUACGGGAGGCAGCAGUGGGGAAUUUUUGGCAAUGGGCGCAAGCCUGACCAAGCAACGCCGCGUGGGUGAUGAAGUAUCUUGGUACGUAAAACCCUUUCGGCAGGGACGAACCUAAUGACGGUACCUGCGGAAGAAGCCCCGGCUAACUCCGUGCCAGCAGCCGCGGUAAUACGGGGGGGGCAAGCGUUGUUCGGAAUUACUGGGCGUAAAGGGCGCGUAGGCGGUUGGAUAAGUCAGCUGUGAAAACCACGGGCUUAACUCGUGGCCUGCAGUUGAGACUGUCUGGCUUGAGUGUGGGAGAGGAGAGUGGAAUUCCUGGUGUAGCGGUGAAAUGCGUAGAUAUCAGGAGGAACACCGGUGGCGAAGGCGGCUCUCUGGACCACAACUGACGCUGAGGCGCGAAAGCUAGGGGAGCAAACAGGAUUAGAUACCCCAGUAGUCC